CCGGUUGAUCCUGCCGGAGGCUACCGCUAUUGGAGUUCGAUUAAGCCAUGCGAGUCGCGAGUCUUAGGGACUCGGCGUACCGCUCAGUAACACGUGGGUAACCUGCCCUAUGCUGGGGGAUAACCUCGGGAAACUGAGAAUAAUACCCCAUAGUUCACCACGCCUGGAACGGUUGGUGGACCAAAGCUCCGGCGGCAUAGGAUGGGCCUGCGGCGUAUCAGGUCGUAGGGGGUGUAACGUACCCUCUAGCCAUCGACGCGUACGGGUGUUGGGAGACAUAGCCCGGAGAUGGAUUCUGAGACACGAAUCCAGACCCUACGGGGUGCAGCAGGCGCGAAAACUUGGCAAUGCGAGAAAUCGUGACCAGGGAACUCCAAGUGGCUGGGGUAAGACCCAGUCUUUUCUUGACUCUUCAAAGGUCUUGGAAUAAGAGGUGGGUAAGGACGGUGCCAGCCGCCGCGGUAAUACCGGCGCCUCAAGUGGUAGUCGAUUUUAUUGGGCCUAAAACGUCCGUAGCCUGUUUGGUACAUUCGUGGGUAAAUCAACCAGCUCAACUGGUUGAAUUCUGCGAGCACGGCCAGACUUGGGACCGGGAGAGGUGUGGGGUACGCUCAGGGUAGGGGUAAAAUCCUGUCAUCCUGAGCGGACCACCUGUUGCGAAGGCGCCACACUAGAACGGAUCCGACGGUCAGGGACGAAGCCUAGGGGCACGAACCGGAUUAGAUACCCGGGUAGUCCUAGGUGUAAACGCUGUGGACUUGGUGUUGGGGAUUCUCCGAGGAUUCUCAGUGCCGAAGCGAAGGUGAUAAGUCCACUGCCUGGGGAGUACGGUCGCAAGGCUGAAACUUAAAGGAAUUGGCGGGGGAGCACCGCAACCUGAGGAUUGUGCGGUUUAAUUGGAUCAACGCCGGG
rnacentral:rRNA from 1 species